AUGUUUCAUCAUCUUUUGAAUCAACAACAACGAACCUUCAUCAUCCCCACGUCAGCAUCAUCCUCAACAAAUUCUUUAGUGUUGCACACUUCCUCAAUCUGCAUCACACACUUCACAUCAUCAUCAGAGUUCAGUCAUUCACUGCACGCACAUGAUAACAUCUCAAAUGCAGAAAACACGAGAAAACGAAAUGUAAAAGAAGGAUAA